UAAGGACAAGAUGGAAAGAACAAAGACAAAUAGAAAAACAGAGCUUCUAAAAAGCAGAUAUACAGCGAUAUUAAUAAGAGUAAAGUUAAGAGUCCUCAAACACGUUUGAGUUGGAGAAGAGAAGGGCUUCUUGAACUUUGGGUCUCCUCUUGAAAAUCUGGAAGACUUGAAGGCAGGAGGAGACUUCUUUUAAUGCUGGGAAGAGUCGGUUGAAUGGAGUUAAUGGCCCUCUUCCUUCUUUUCCGUUGAAAUCAGUUUGCAGAGAAAGGAUGCUUGAUUUCUUUGAGUGGAAUGGUACUUCUCUGCCUUGCUACAGUCCUCUGUGGCUAUUUAAGCCAUCCCCCACGGAAACUAGCCGUUAGACACAUUUUUCUGCCCGUUCUG
rnacentral:lncRNA from 1 species